rnacentral:lncRNA from 1 species
UGGAGUUAGAGAGAGAAAUGCAUAAAACUAGAGAGAGAGAAAGGAAGUGGUGGUCUAAUGGUGGUCCGAUGACGGUUUGCGGCGGCCAGUGGUGGUCGGAGUUGCGGGUUUCAACCUGAAACCACCUCGCGAUGAUAAGAAUGCAAUGGAACUUGAUUGUGAUGCAUGGAUGAUUUAAUGGAGUUUUAUAUGAAAUCCGAGAUCGUAGAAAUGUUUGUGAUGCAAAAAAUAAACACAACUUCAUAAGUGGAUCUCAUUGUAUGUCGGCUACAAGAAAAUCCAUGUACACGAUCAAUUACGUUUUCCUACGGGCAAAGGUGAGUGGUUUAUAUAUGUUUUGGUAUGAGUUGUUACUUCGGAUUUUAUUAAGUUUAUGAACACAUAACAUAUGCUAUCUUAUUGUACUUAUUAAAAAUCCAUGAUGAGCGAUAAAAUUAAAAUCAUGUAGAUCAAUUAUUUGAUAAUUGAAGUAUGGUAUUUCAUGUAGUAAUUCAUUGGCCAUAUGGGUUAAAUAUUCAAGUAAAGUUGAAAUGCUAAUAUGUUGUGUUCGGAAUCCAUUUGGUUAGAUUAGAAUGAUCACUCAACAUAAAUAUAAUCUAGAAAGACAUAUGGAAUAACACUUAUGUACUAGAAUGGAAGUUUAGAAUGUAUUACUAUAUGUGUGUGUUUAAUCAUGGUGUUGAGGUACAAGCAUGAAUACUGAACCGUCUGCGAUUUAAAUGCCCAUGGUUGUGUUUUCUGACUCUUGGAUAUGCUAAGAUGGAUUAGCAAGUUCAGGUAUGCAUGAAGGGAAUUUGUUCAUGAAGAUUUGAAAGCAGAAACAAACUAGUUAUGCAUUCGAUUUUGUUUAGCCAUGAUAGUAAGCACUCUAACACUUAAUGUUAGUACAGGUAUGGAUAUUUAACAAAUACUGGUUGUGACGAAAUAACAAAUGUAUGUAUAGAAUAGUAAAAAACCUCGAUUAGCUUUGCUAAUUUAGAUUGUGAUGAUCGAUGUCCACAGGUUCACAGGUCUAGUCAAAUAUGAGAUUGAAGAUCGGGUCUCAAGAUAUGGUUGUACGAGUCAAGCAAGGAUGGAUGAUUCAUUAAAUAGGUUAUUAACACCAUCUAAAAGGAAAGCAUUGUAAUGCCUAGAUAACUUUUUAAAAAGAUUUCAGUUAGGAUAUACGUUGUUUGUGAGUAUUAGUAAAAAAAAAUUAGGGACCGUUUUUCCGCUGCUAAUUAAACGGUUAAAUCUUGUUUUCAAACUAGGGCGUUACAAGUUGGUAUCAGAGCCCUGGUUUGAGCGAAAUCAAGUGCACAUAGGUAAGUACUUAAACUCAAACUUGCGUGCUCUUGUGAUAUGAACCGUACAAUCCAAGACUCGAUCAAAACCCGAAGGUAAAAUCGAAUGAAAAUGUGUAUAUGUACACUUAAAUGAAGAAGCUAAUUGUGUGGUGUAUGUAAGGUAAGCUUGGAUAAAUAAGAAGGGUGAUCCAAGAUGCAAUCUGGAGUAAGCACCGAGCCAUGAGUUUGUACUAUCGGAUCCCAGGUACACAAUUUUAAUAAGUAUGAGUUCCAGUAUUGGGAGAGUCACCCGAGAAAGGUUUAGUGAUAAAUGAAUUACGUUGAUUUUGCUUUGGUGGGAUCCAGAUUGAAACACGGGGUAUGAUUUUCAAACAAAAGACAAUGAUAUUGACUUGGUAAAAAUUUAAAGAUGUUGUAAAUUACAUGAAGGCACGAGACUAGUAUGUGGAUUGCGCGCCUGGCCAGUGCGCAAGAAGCAUAUGACACUCGCGAGACCAUGAUAAUCAUCACAGGUAUGUUCGGUAGGAAUGAGAAGUAAAUGGCUGUAUGGGAAGGGUGUGAGUCCGUAAGUAAGAACGGACCAACCAAGUA